rnacentral:rRNA from 1 species
CAGGCUUAACACAUGCAAGUCGAGGGGCAGCAUGGUCUUAGCUUGCUAAGGCCGAUGGCGACCGGCGCACGGGUGAGUAACACGUAUCCAACCUGCCGUCUACUCUUGGACAGCCUUCUGAAAGGAAGAUUAAUACAAGAUGGCAUCAUGAGUCCGCAUGUUCACAUGAUUAAAGGUAUUCCGGUAGACGAUGGGGAUGCGUUCCAUUAGAUAGUAGGCGGGGUAACGGCCCACCUAGCCUUCGAUGGAUAGGGGUUCUGAGAGGAAGGUCCCCCACAUUGGAACUGAGACACGGUCCAAACUCCUACGGGAGGCAGCAGUGAGGAAUAUUGGUCAAUGGGCGAGAGCCUGAACCAGCCAAGUAGCGUGAAGGAUGACUGCCCUAUGGGUUGUAAACUUCUUUUAUAAAGGAAUAAAGUCGGGUAUGGAUACCCGUUUGCAUGUACUUUAUGAAUAAGGAUCGGCUAACUCCGUGCCAGCAGCCGCGGUAAUACGGAGGAUCCGAGCGUUAUCCGGAUUUAUUGGGUUUAAAGGGAGCGUAGAUGGAUGUUUAAGUCAGUUGUGAAAGUUUGCGGCUCAACCGUAAAAUUGCAGUUGAUACUGGAUAUCUUGAGUGCAGUUGAGGCAGGCGGAAUUCGUGGUGUAGCGGUGAAAUGCUUAGAUAUCACGAAGAACUCCGAUUGCGAAGGCAGCCUGCUAAGCUGCAACUGACAUUGAGGCUCGAAAGUGUGGGUAUCAAACAGGAUUAGAUACCCUGGUAGUCCACACGGUAAACGAUGAAUACUCGCUGUUUGCGAUAUACUGCAAGCGGCCAAGCGAAAGCGUUAAGUAUUCCACCUGGGGAGUACGCCGGCAACGGUGAAACUCAAAGGAAUUGACGGGGGCCCGCACAAGCGGAGGAACAUGUGGUUUAAUUCGAUGAUACGCGAGGAACCUUACCCGGGCUUAAAUUGCAGAUGAAUUACGGUGAAAGCCGUAAGCCGCAAGGCAUCUGUGAAGGUGCUGCAUGGUUGUCGUCAGCUCGUGCCGUGAGGUGUCGGCUUAAGUGCCAUAACGAGCGCAACCCUUGUUGUCAGUUACUAACAGGUUCCGCUGAGGACUCUGACAAGACUGCCAUCGUAAGAUGUGAGGAAGGUGGGGAUGACGUCAAAUCAGCACGGCCCUUACGUCCGGGGCUACACACGUGUUACAAUGGGGGGUACAGAGGGCCGCUACCACGCGAGUGGAUGCCAAUCCCCAAAACCUCUCUCAGUUCGGACUGGAGUCUGCAACCCGACUCCACGAAGCUGGAUUCGCUAGUAAUCGCGCAUCAGCCACGGCGCGGUGAAUACGUUCCCGGGCCUUGUACACACCGCCCGUCAAGCCAUGGGAGCCGGGGGUACCUGAAGUGCGUAACCGCGAGGAGCGCCCUAGGGUAAAACUGGUGACUGGGGC